rnacentral:rRNA from 1 species
UGCGUAGGCGGAAUGAUAAGUUAGUGGUGAAAGCCCCCGGCUUAACCGGGGAAUUGCCAUUAAUACUGUCAUUCUUGAGUAUAGUUGAAGUGGGCGGAAUGUAUCAUGUAGCGGUGAAAUGCUUAGAUAUGAUACAGAACACCGAUAGCGUAGGCAGCUUGCUAAACUAUAACUGACGCUCAGGCACGAAAGCGUGGGGAGCAAACAGGAUUAGAUACCCUGGUAGUCC